UCUUUGGUCAUUUAAGAGGAAGUAAAAGUCGCGUACAGGUUUCCCGUAGGUGAACCUGCGGAAGGAUCAUUA
rnacentral:rRNA from 1 species